rnacentral:rRNA from 1 species
UACGGAGGGUCCGAGCGUUAAUCGGAAUUACUGGGCGUAAAGCGUGCGCAGGCGGUUUGUUAAGCAAGAUGUGAAAGCCCCGGGCUCAACCUGGGAAUUGCAUUUCGAACUGGCAAACUAGAGUCUUGUAGAGGGGGGUAGAAUUCCAGGUGUAGCGGUGAAAUGCGUAGAGAUCUGGAGGAAUACCGGUGGCGAAGGCGGCCCCCUGGACAAAGACUGACGCUCAGGCACGAAAGCGUGGGGAGCAAACAGG